rnacentral:tRNA from 1 species
GGGAAGUUGGCUCAGUGGUAGAGUGCUUGCCUUGCAUGCAUGAGGCCCUGGGUUCAUUUUCAAUUCCCCA